GAAUAAACUUUGAGCAGGCUGUUUGCUGGCCCUUGUCAAUGAGGGUAUGUGCACGCUUGUCCUUUGUUAUUUCUCCAACUUGUGCACACUUUGUAGACCCUGGAUGAUUUAUGAAUUUUCAUUCGAGUCGGGAUUGCUGUGCUUUCCACAUGAGACAGUCAGCUUUGCCUUGCCAUCUCCAGGUCUAUGUCAUUUUUUCACAACCUCUGUAAACAUGUUUAGAAUGUUGGAUCAGGUCCUUUUUGUACCUAUAUAAAUGAAAUAUACAACUUUCAGCAACGGAUCUCUUGGCUCUCGCAUCGAUGAAGAACGCAGCGAAAUGCGAUAAGUAAUGUGAAUUGCAGAAUUCAGUGAAUCAUCGAAUCUUUGAACGCACCUUGCGCUCCUUGGUAUUCCGAGGAGCAUGCCUGUUUGAGUGUCAUUUAACUUCUCAAACCACAUCAGAUGAAUUUUCUUUUGAUUGUGGCUUGGAUGUGGGGGUUUGUUUGCAGGCUUUUUUCUAUAAGGUCAGCUCCCCUGAAAUGUAUUAGUGGUAUCUGAGGCUUAUUACUGUAGGUGUGAUAAUUUAUCUAUGCCUUUGGUAUGCCACAUGAACAGAUUACACUGCUUCUAACACAGAAAAUCUUGAUGAAUUUGACCUCAAAUCAGGUAGGACUACCCGCUGAACUUA
rnacentral:rRNA from 1 species